rnacentral:rRNA from 1 species
UCUACGGGAGGCAGCAGUGGGGAAUAUUGCACAAUGGGGGAAACCCUGAUGCAGCGACGCCGCGUGAGUGAAGAAGGAUCUCGGUAUGUCAAGCUCUAUCAGCAGGGAAGAAAAUGACGGUACCUGACUAAGUAGCCACGGCGAAAUACGUGCCAGCAGCCGCGGUAAUAGGAAGGGGGCAAGCGUUAUCCGGAUUUACUGGGUGUAAAGGGAGCGUAGCCGGCGCUGCAAGUCCGGAGUGAAAGCCCAUGGCUUAACCAUGGUACUGCUCUGGAAACUGUGGAGCUUGAGUGCGGGAGGGGCAGGCGGAAUUCGUGGUGUAGCGGUGAAAUGCGUAGAUAUUAGGAGGAACACCGGCGGCGAAGGCAGUCUGCUGGACCGUAACUGACGUUGAGGCUCGAAAGCGUGGGUAGCAAACAGGAUUAGAUACCCUUGUAGUC